rnacentral:rRNA from 1 species
AAUAGAUACCCAGGUAGUCCUAGCCGUAAACGAUACUCGCUAGGUGUCGGCCACGGUGCGACCGUUGUCGGUGCCGUAGGGAAGCCGUGAAGCGAGCCACCUGGGAAGUACGGCCGCAAGGCUGAAACUUAAAGGAAUUGGCGGGGGAGCACCACAACGGGUGGAGCUUGCGGUUUAAUUGGAUUCAACGCCGGAAAUCUUACCGGGACCGACAGCAAUAUGAAGGCCAGGCUGAAGACUUUGCCGGAUUAGCUGAGAGGUGGUGCAUGGCCGUCGUCAGUUCGUACUGUGAAGCAUCCUGUUAAGUCAGGCAACGAGCGAGACCCACGCCCACAGUUGCCAGCGUACUCUCUGGAGUGACGGGUACACUGUGGGGACCGCCGCUGCUAAAGCGGAGGAAGGAAUGGGCAACGGUAGGUCAGUAUGCCCCGAAUAUCCCGGGCUACACGCGAGCUACAAUGGUUGGUACAAUGGGUAUCUACCCCGAAAGGGGACGGGAAUCUCCUAAAACCAAUCUUAGUUCGGAUUGAGGGCUGCAACUCGCCCCA